rnacentral:rRNA from 1 species
AUUGAACGCUGGCGGCAUGCUUUACACAUGCAAGUCGAACGGUAACAGGUCUUCGGAUGCUGACGAGUGGCGAACGGGUGAGUAAUACAUCGGAACGUGCCUAGUAGUGGGGGAUAACUACUCGAAAGAGUAGCUAAUACCGCAUGAGAUCUACGGAUGAAAGCAGGGGACCUUCGGGCCUUGUGCUACUAGAGCGGCUGAUGGCAGAUUAGGUAGUUGGUGGGGUAAAGGCUUACCAAGCCUGCGAUCUGUAGCUGGUCUGAGAGGACGACCAGCCACACUGGGACUGAGACACGGCCCAGACUCCUACGGGAGGCAGCAGUGGGGAAUUUUGGACAAUGGGCGAAAGCCUGAUCCAGCAAUGCCGCGUGCAGGAUGAAGGCCCUCGGGUUGUAAACUGUUUUUGUACGGAACGAAAAGCCUGGGGCUAAUAUCCCCGGGUCAUGACGGUACCGUAAGAAUAAGCACCGGCUAACUACGUG